UAGGUGGCGAGCGUUAUCCGGAUUUACUGGGUGUAAAGGGCGCGUAGGCGGGAAUGCAAGUCAGAUGUGAAAUCUAUGGGCUUAACCCAUAAACUGCAUUUGAAACUGCAUUUCUUGAGUGUCGGAGAGGUAGACGGAAUUCCUAGUGUAGCGGUGAAAUGCGUAGAUAUUAGGAGGAACACCAGUGGCGAAGGCGGUCUACUGGACGAUAACUGACGCUGAGGCACGAAAGCGUGGGUAUC
rnacentral:rRNA from 1 species